rnacentral:rRNA from 2 species
GUCCUAUUGGUUUUUUAAUAGGUCUGGCCUGCCCAGUGAUAAUUUUAACGGCCGCGGUAUAUUGACCGUGCAAAGGUAGCAUAAUCAUUAGUCUUUUAAUAGGAGGCUGGAAUGAAAGGUCUAACGAGAAAUUAACUGUCUCAAUUACAAAUUUGAAUUUAUCUUUUAAGUCAAAAGACUUAAAUUUAAUUGGAGGACGAGAAGACCCUAUAGAGCUUAACAGGUUUUUUUAUAUAUUUAUUUAGUUUAAAAUUACUUAUUUGUGUUGAAAAAUUUGUUUUGUUGGGGUGACAAUAAAUAUAUACUUAACUUUUAUUAUAAUACGAACAUUAAUUUAUGAAUUUUGGAUCCAAAAAUUUUGAUCAUUAGAUUAAGUUACCUUAGGGAUAACAGCGUAAUCUUCCCUCAGAGCUCAUAUUUACGGGAAGGAUUGCGACCUCGAUGUUGGAUUAAGAUAAUAAUUAGGUGCAGUAGUUUAAUUAAUAGGUCUGUUCGACCUUUAAAUUCUU